UACGUAGGGGGCACGCGUUGUCCGGAAUCAUUGGGCGUAAAGCGCGUGUAGGCGGCUGACUAAGUCCGCUCUGAAAGCCCGGGGCUCAACCCCGGGAGGCGGGUGGAUACUGGUCAGCUCGAGUCCGGAAGAGGAGUGUGGAAUUCCUGGUGUAGCGGUGAAAUGCGCAGAUAUCAGGAGGAACACCAAUGGCGAAGGCAGCACUCUGGGACGGUACUGACGCUGAGACGCGAAAGCUGGGGGAGCGAACGGG
rnacentral:rRNA from 1 species